UACGGGGGGGGCAAGCGUUGUUCGGAAUUACUGGGCGUAAAGGGCUCGUAGGCGGUUUGUUAAGUCGGAUGUGAAAUCCCUCGGCUCAACUGAGGAAGUGCAUCCGAAACUGGCAGGCUUGAGUACUAAAGAGGGUCGCGGAAUUCCCGGUGUAGAGGUGAAAUUCGUAGAUAUGGGGAGGAACACCGGUGGCGAAGGCGGCCACCUGGACGGUCACUGACGCUGAGACGCGAAAGCGUGGGUAGCAAACAGG
rnacentral:rRNA from 1 species